CACCGGUAUAGCUCAAUCGGCAGAGCGGGCAGGGCCCUUUUAACAGAGAGCAGAGAUUCAGGUUCGAAUCCUGAUGCCGGUGU
rnacentral:tRNA from 1 species